rnacentral:rRNA from 1 species
UACGGGGGGAGCAAGCGUUGUUCGGAUUUACUGGGCGUAAAGGGCGCGUAGGCGGCCAGCACAAGUCAGUUGUGAAAUCUCCGGGCUUAACUCGGAAAGGUCAACUGAUACUGUGCGGCUAGAGUGCGGAAGGGGCAACUGGAAUUCUCGGUGUAGCGGUGAAAUGCGUAGAUAUCGAGAGGAACACCUGAGGUGAAGACGGGUUGCUGGGCUGACACUGACGCUGAGGAGCGAAAGCGUGGGUAGCAAACAGG